CACUCAAAAAAAUGCUGGGUUGUUUCUGUAAACAAAUUGUUGGGUUGAUUGUGCUGGGUCAAAAAGUUGGGUUGUUUGGGGUACUGUAAACACAUUAUUGGGUUGCUCAUGCUGGGUAAAAUGAUUUGUAACGGGGUCAUUCACAAAUAAACAGUUGGUUUGGUUAUUUUGACCCAGCAACUGGUUUAUUACUUUUUCAUUCUUUGCGGAACUUUCUGGAUUCUUCACUUGUGACUGGAGGAGGCACGCACUCGGAGCAGGCAGUGUUUUAUGCUGCUAAAGAGGAGACAGCUUUGAAGGUCCUACCAACUCUGCUUCCCCCAUCCAUCUACAGGAGAGGAGGAAAGGUCUUCAGACCCACCACAGAGGAGGCCCAGAAGUCAUUUAUUGACAUGCAACCUGUUGGGACCAACAUGGUUGAAUAUUUAAACCAUGAGAUGACUGGAGCAUUGCUGCACAUUCUGUGCCUCAGUGAUGAGACAAGGGGGACAUCACAGACCUUUGCCAUUAUUCCAGGCCACGCCAUUGAGACUGAGUCUUUGUUGGAGGCGGUUGAUCUUUGCUUUAAAGCUUUUUUUGUUUUUGAUGUUCAGUACACCAAACAGUGUCUCCCCACCUGGGAGUUUCUCCAGCAUGCUGUGUAUCAAAUUGAAGGAAAAGAGUCCUCCUCUGUAAAGUUUUUGAGGACAACAGUGGUUUCAGGCCCACAUGAUAUGUAGAUGAUUUUAAAAUGUAUUUUGUUGCUGUUCUUAAAUCAACACAUCUUAAUAAAUUAAAUUGUAAUCGUAUGAGAGUUCAAAUUAGUUGUUUAAUGACUUUUAAUGCCUGAAUAUUUGGACAGAUUUACAUUUGUUAUAAAGUCUGUGGGGAAGGGUGAAUGUCAG